ACACAACUCUGGAGAGUCCCUUGAAUGGGCGCCGAAGGUGCACGGAUAUAUUACAUAUCCUUAUCUCUCAGGCCAAAGGACGGAGCU
rnacentral:ncRNA from 1 species